CACCCAUUAUCAAAACCCGAAUGCAAAAGUGACGUUAAAAACUUUCCCAAAAUUUCCCCUUUUCAACCCUCAAUUCCUCUGUCUGCAGCGUAGCUAUAUCUGUCUUCUCCAUCCGGCGCAACUCACCCAUUUUCUCCAUCUACACUAGAGCCACCAUUGAACGCGACGUAAUCCAUGUUCUCCAUAAUGUAAAACCCAAAUUUCUGAGAAAUUCGCUCGCUGCUUAUUGUGUUGAAGUUGAAACGCCUAUCUUUGCCCGUAGGAUCUUCAGGAAAAUUAGGUAUAAGUCUAUGUACAAUUUUUCGAAUAUAUUGGAUUUGUAUAUGAUUUUAUCCUUAAACAUCCAAAUAUUGAUAUAUAUACGUAUGGUCACUUGUUACAUUUCUUGUUUUAGGUUUUCUGUAUGAUUAUUUACGAUAUUGCACAAUUUCUUUAUAUUGUCCCCUUUUUUUUUGGAUAAGGAUGGAAGUUUACGACUGAUAUUGAUUAAAUUAGCACAAGAUGCUGAAUAUUGAAAUAAAUCUGUUCUUCUCUAAUUGGAAUCGGGUUCAAAAUUACUCCAAAGAAUCAUCUUUGGAGUCAUUAAGCUAUCAAUAUUUUAAAAAAUUGUAUUUGAUGUUUAUUGCUCUUUUUGAUCACUAUGUGUUGAUUUAUAUGGAUGAAUCCUAGAUUACCAUGGGAGGAAAGAAUAACGGAGUUUGCCAUAGAUGUAGGCUGCAGGGGCAUUUUUUUUGUUGAAUGCCCGAACAAAUGCCAUUGUCCGUGGUGCAAGCAUGCCUUCAUGAAGUAUUUUGAGGUGGAGAAGAAAACGAAAAAUCAAGGUAGGCUGUUCAAUACUUGCAGCAUGAAGUGCGGAUUUUGGAAGUGGGUUGAAGUGGCUAAAACAAGUAUUGCAUCAAGUUCUAAUAAUGUGGUGAACGCAGAAACUGAAGAUUUAUCCAACCUAUUCGAAACAGGAUGCCGCCUAACUGAUGAAAAAGUAGUUGAGAUAUCUAUGAAGGUGGAGGUGAAAAUACACAAUGGAAGAGCAAGUGCCUAAGUUGUUUGUCCUUAAUGUAAUUGUAAUUUCCUGACAAUGUAACUCAGUGGAUUCAUAGUUAGGUCUGUAAUGUGCAUUAAAUGUUUAACUUAUGUAAACCUAUGAAUUUGGAAACUCAGGCUAUGGGAAUUGAAUUUGCCUAAUUUGCCUAUUGGUUGUAAUGCGUAUUAAGGUUCAUAAUGUUAUAGUUUUGCAUUGGUUUAUGAAUUAAUGUCAGGCCCUUCUUUAAUUAUCUCAGUAGUAUUUUCUUCCCUAACUAGUUGAG
rnacentral:lncRNA from 1 species